CUCUCUCGUCGCUCCAGCCGCUCGUCAUCCGCGUGCUAGUGGGCGCGCAGGAUCCUCUCCGCCGCGAGCAUCUGGGCCCGCACGUCCUACUGGACCAGCUCCUUCUCGGCACCGGUGGCGGCGGCCUUGCUCUGUUGAGAGGCUGCAGGGAAGUAGAUUAAUCAGGCUGCAGGGGAGUAGAUUAAUCGGCAGUAGAAUUGUUUACCGGUGUAGGCUUCAUUCCCAGAUGGUUUUACGGACUUACGGUGUAGAUUGUUUUUUAUUUUCAUCAUUUGUUUGGUGAGAAAUUUUUCCUUGAUGUUCGUUUAGAACAUGAAUUUUUUACUCUUACUAUCAAGUCUCUGUUUUCAGAUUGUUUUGCUUCAUACUUUUUUCUUCAUUUUCAUAGGACAGAUUUAGGAUAUUUCUUGCUUUGAAUCACUUGGACCCUUUUUGUUUUGUUUUGUGUUGAUAGGUUACAAAAAUAUCUAGUUACAAAAAUAUGUUGUUUGAAUAUUGUGAUAAGCUUGCUUCUAGCUUAUAGUUUAAAUUAAUCUAGCUUAUUGUUUUUUUUACAUUGCAUUUUAGGUUCUAUUUUGCUUACUGUUUUUGUAAGCCUACUGUUUUAUUCUUCUUUUUAAAUUUUUGUAGAUGGCAAGGAAGAGAUCCAGGGAUUUCGUUGACAUUGUUAGCACGCAGGAAUCUGAUGGUGUAGACAUUGGAGAUAAGUCUGAUUCUCUGUCUAACACUGAGAGCGAUGGUUGUGAAGAAUCUGAAUAUCAAUGUUCAUUUGGUUCUUGGCUUUUCAAUUGGUCCCAAAGCUUUCCCUUCUGAUUCUUCUGGUGGUAAAGCUGUUGUCUUGUCCCUGUUUGAGAAGAACUCCAUUCCUUCAGCGGCAUUAUUUGCCAACAAAAUCAUCGAGCAUGAAACCAAGACUGAUGAGGAGUUGAUUAUCUGUUUUGUGCUUGUUGCUAUGACCAGUUUCUCUUAUUUUACUAUCAGUCUCAUUAUUGUUCACCAGCUUUGUAAUAUUUAAUUGUAAUAUUAUAAAGUAAUUGUAAUAUUUGUUUUCCAGUGUUACAGUUUAACAAAGUUAAAUUCCCAGUGCAAAUUUCACUAUCAUUUAUAUA